GCCUUCGUGGUGUAACGGUAGCACACUCGGCGCGUAUUCGAGAGGUCAGGGAUUCGAGUCCCGUCGCAAGUA
rnacentral:tRNA from 1 species